GACGAACGCUGGCGGCGUGCCUAAUACAUGCAAGUUGAACGCUAAAGCUUUAACUGGUGCUUGCACCGACUUAAGUUUUUAGAGUAGCGGACGGGUGAGUAACACGUGGGUAACCUGCCCAUCAGAGGGGGAUAACACUUGGAAACAGGUGCUAAUACCGCAUAACAGUUUAUGCCGCAUGGCAUAAGAGUGAAAGGCGCUUUCGGGUGUCGCUGAUGGAUGGACCCGCGGUGCAUUAGCUAGUUGGUGAGGUAACGGCUCACCAAGGCCACGAUGCAUAGCCGACCUGAGAGGGUGAUCGGCCACACUGGGACUGAGACACGGCCCAGACUCCUACGGGAGGCAGCAGUAGGGAAUCUUCGGCAAUGGACGAAAGUCUGACCGAGCAACGCCGCGUGAGUGAAGAAGGUUUUCGGAUCGUAAAACUCUGUUGUUAGAGAAGAACAAGGACGUUAGUAACUGAACGUCCCCUGACGGUAUCUAACCAGAAAGCCACGGCUAACUACGUGCCAGCCGCCGCCGUAACAC
rnacentral:rRNA from 1 species